GAACAGAAAAGAAACAUCAAUUUGAAAGGAAACCAUUUAUUUAUUUACUUCCUCUACAGUUUUCCUGACUGCUACAUUUCAUAAGAAGGGAUUGUUUAUGAGGGUCAAGGAGCUGGAGGCCUGGGGAGGAGCUGGUGUUUCUGUUCAAGUUUGAGGGUCCUGGAGCUGGAGCCCAGGGGAGGAGCCAGUGCUGCCACUGAUGUCUUAGGGUCGUGGAGCUGAAGAUCCCAGAGGAGCCGGUGCUGCUAUUCUAGCUUGAGUUUCGUGGAGCUGGAGACCCAGGGAGAAGAUGGUGCUGCUGUUCUAAUUUAAGGAUCGUGAAACAGAAGACCCAGAAAGGAGCUGGUGCUGCCGCUGCUCAGAUCUGAGGGUGUUGGAGCUGGAGCCUGGGGGUGGAGCCAUUGCUGCCAUUGAAGUGUGAGAGUCAUUGAGCUGGAAGUCCAGGAAGCAGCUGGUGCUGCUGUUCUAGUUUGAGGGUUGUGGAGUGCAGACCCAGGCAGGAGCAACAUUGCUGUAGUUCGAGGGUCAGAAAGCUGGCGACCCAGGGAGGAGAGGUCUUGUUCUGGUCUGAGGGUCGUGGAGCUACAUACCCAGGGAGGAGCAAUGUUGUUGUAAUUCGAGGGUGUGGUAGCUGGCAACCUGGGGAGGAGAAGUCUUCUUCGAGUUUGAGGCUCGUGGAGCUGCCGACCAGGGACGAGCAAUUUUGUUGUAGUUCGUGGGUCAGGAAUCUGGCGACCCAGGGAGGAGAGGUCUUGUUUUAGUUUGAGGGUUGUGGAACUGCAGACCCAGGCAGGAGCAAUGUUGUUGUAAUUCAAGGGUCCGGAAGCUGGAGACCCCGGGAGGAGAGGUCUUGUUCUAGUUUGAGGGUCGUAGAGCUGCAGACCCAGGGAGGAGCAAUUCUGUUGUAAUUCGAGGGUCUGGAAGCUGGAGACCCAGGGAGGAGAGGUCUUGUUCUAGUUUGAGGGUCGUAGAGCUGCAGACCCAGGGAGGAGCAAUUCUGUUGUAAUUCGAGGGUCUGGAAGCUGGAGACCCAGGGAGGAGAGGUCUUGUUGUAGUUUGAGGGUCGUGGAGCUGCCGAACCAGAGAGGAGCAAUGUUGUUGUAAUUGGAGGGUCCGAAAGCUGGCGACCCAGGGAGGAGAGGUCUUGUUCUGGUGUGAGGGUCGUGGAGCUGCAGACCCAGGGAGGAGCAAUUUUGUUGUAAUUCAAGGGUCCGGUAGCUGGCAACCCAGGGAAGAGAAGUGUUGUUGGAGUUUGAGGGUCGUGGAGCUGCCGACCCAGGGAGGAGCAAUUUGGUUGUAAUUCGAGGGUCAGGAAGCUGGCGACCCAGGGGAGGAGAGGUCUUCUUCUGGUCUGAGGGUCGUGGAGCUGCAGACCCAGGGAGGAGCAAUGUUGUUGUAAUUCGAGGGUCUGGUAGCUGGCAACCUGGGAAGGAGAAGUCUUGUUCGAGUUUGAGGCUGUUGGAGCUGCUGAUCAGGGAGGAGCAAUUUUGUUGUAGUUCGAGGGUCAGGAAGCUGGUGACCCAGGGAGGAGAGGUCUUGUUUUAGUUUGAGGGUGGUGGAGCUGCAGACCCAGGGAGGAGCAAUUUGGUUGUCAUUCGAGGGUCUGGAAGCUGGAGACCCAGGGAGGAGAGGUCUUGUUCUAGUUUGAGGGUUCGGAAGCUGGUGACCCAGGGAGGACAGAUCGUGUUCUAGUCUGAGGGUC
rnacentral:lncRNA from 1 species